rnacentral:tRNA from 1 species
CGGGGAGUGGCGCAGUCCGGCAGCGCACAUCGUUUGGGACGAUGGGGUCGUAGGUUCAAAUCCUAUCUCCCCGA